rnacentral:lncRNA from 1 species
GCCUCGGCCAACGGACAGCAAGCGGGGGAGGGGACGCGAGGCGCGCCCCGCGGGAGCAGCCUCCACCCUCCCUGGCCAGCGGGAUGUUCCUAGACCCAGUCCGACUCCCUUUCAGCUGCCUGCGGUCCUCCGGAGUCCCACUGGGGUGUUCCUGGGCCCAGCUUGAAUCCCCUCUUUUAGCCCACUGAAGUCCUUCUGGGGUACUGCGGUGUUCCUGGGCCCAGCCUGGAUCCCCUUGUCCCCCUGAAGUUCUUCGGGGUGUUCCUGGGCCGUACUUGGACCCCCGAUGGUUCCCUGGAGUCCUCCUGGGUUGCCUCCCCCAAGAACUGGAAUAUUCCUAGGCCCAGCCUGGAUUUGCCUCCGUUCAGCCUCCUGAAAUCAUUCUGAGCCUCAGCCUAGACCCCUUCCCAGUCCCGGAGGUCCCCUUGAGACCCAGGAUGUUUUGAUGGCUCAGUUGGCAACUGACUAGCAACAUUGUAUCCACAACCAAUCCAGGAGGAAACCUCAAUUAACCUAGUCCAGGGUCUUCCUAGGGUCAGCCUUGGGUCAGAAGAAGGUCAGGACCCUCUUCUCUAAGAAGCCUGUUCCGUC